GAUGAGCGCUGGCGGCGUGCUUAACACAUGCAAGUCGAACGGGAAUUACUUUAUUGAAACUUCGGUCGAUUUAAUUUAAUUCUAGUGGCGGACGGGUGAGUAACGCGUGGGUAACCUGCCUUAUACAGGGGGAUAACAGUCAGAAAUGGCUGCUAAUACCGCAUAAGCGCACAGAGCUGCAUGGCUCAGUGUGAAAAACUCCGGUGGUAUAAGAUGGACCCGCGUUGGAUUAGCUUGUUGGUGGGGUAACGGCCCACCAAGGCGACGAUCCAUAGCCGGCCUGAGAGGGUGAACGGCCACAUUGGGACUGAGACACGGCCCAGACUCCUACGGGAGGCAGCAGUGGGGAAUAUUGCACAAUGGGGGAAACCCUGAUGCAGCGACGCCGCGUGAAGGGGGGAAGUAUCUCGGUAUGUAAACUUCUAUCAGCAGGGAAGAU
rnacentral:rRNA from 1 species